rnacentral:rRNA from 1 species
ACGAAAGGGCACACAUAAUGAUGACGAGUAGGGCGAGGCACGUGAAACCUUGUCUGAAUAUGGGGGGACCAUCCUCCAAGGCUAAAUACUCCUGACUGACCGAUAGUGAACCAGUACCGUGAGGGAAAGGCGAAAAGAACCCCUGUGAGGGGAGUGAAAUAGAUCCUGAAACCGCAUGCAUACAAGCAGUGGGAGCACCUUCGUGGUGUGACUGCGUACCUUUUGUAUAAUGGGUCAGCGACUUAUAUUCAGUAGCGAGGUUAACCGUAUAGGGGAGCCGUAGAGAAAUCGAGUCUUAAUAGGGCGUUUAGUUGCUGGGUAUAGACCCGAAACCAGGCGAUCUAUCCAUGAGCAGGUUGAAGGUUGGGUAACACUAACUGGAGGACCGAACCCACUGUCGUUGAAAAGCCAGGGGAUGACUUGUGGAUAGGGGUGAAAGGCUAAUCAAGCCUGGUGAUAGCUGGUUCUCCCCGAAAGCUAUUUAGGUAGCGCCUCGGACGAAUACCAUAGGGGGUAGAGCACUGUUUCGGCUAGGGGGUCAUCCCGACUUACCAAACCGAUGCAAACUCCGAAUACCUAUGAGUACUAUCCGGGAGACAGACUGCGGGUGCUAACGUCCGUAGUCAAGAGGAAAACAAUCCAGACCGCCAGCUAAGGCCCCAAAAUCAUAGUUAAGUGGGAAACGAUGUGGGAAGGCAUAGACAGCUAGGAGGUUGGCUUAGAAGCAGCCACCCUUUAAAGAAAGCGUAAUAGCUCACUAGUCGAGUCGGCCUGCGCGGAAGAUGUAACGGGGCUAAAACUAUGUGCCGAAGCUGCGGAUGUAUACUUUGUAUACGUGGUAGGGGAGCGUUCUGUAAGCCGAUGAAGGUGUGUUGAGAAGCAUGCUGGAGGUAUCAGAAGUGCGAAUGCUGACGUGAGUAACGACAAAACGGGUGAAAAACCCGUUCGCCGAAAGACCAAGGGUUCCAGUCCAACGUUAAUCGGGGCUGGGUGAGUCGACCCCUAAGGCGAGGCCGAAAGGCGUAGUCGAUGGGAAAAUGGUUAAUAUUCCAUUACUUCUGUGUAAUGCGAUGAGAGGACGGAGAAGGCUAAAUCAGCCUGGCGUUGGUUGUCCAGGUGAAAGGAUGUAGGCAUGUAUCUUAGGCAAAUCCGGGGUACUCUAUGCUGAGAUCUGAUAGCAAGCUGUACUUGUACAGCGAAGUGGUUGAUGCCAUGCUUCCAGGAAAAGUCUCUAAGCUUCAGUUACACAGGAAUCGUACCCGAAACCGACACAGGUGGUCAGGUCGAGUAGACCAAGGCGCUUGAGAGAACUCUGCUGAAGGAACUAGGCAAAAUGGUACCGUAACUUCGGGAGAAGGUACGCUGUUGUUGGUGAUGGAACUCGCUUCCUGAGCUGACGACAGCCGCAGAAACCAGGCCGCUGCAACUGUUUAUUAAAAACAUAGCACUCUGCAAACACGAAAGUGGACGUAUAGGGUGUGAUGCCUGCCCGGUGCUGGAAGGUUAAUUGAUGGGGUUAGCGUAAGCGAAGCUCUUGAUCGAAGCCCCAGUAAACGGCGGCCGUAACUAUAACGGUCCUAAGGUAGCGAAAUUCCUUGUCGGGUAAGUUCCGACCUGCACGAAUGGCAUAAUGAUGGCGGCGCUGUCUCCAGCAGAGGCUCAGUGAAAUCGAAAUCGCUGUGAAGAUGCAGUGUACCCGCGGCUAGACGGAAAGACCCCGUGAACCUUUACUGCAGCUUGACACUGAACUUUGACCUUACUUGUGUAGGAUAGGUGGGAGGCUUUGAAGCUGGAACGCUAGUUCCAGUGGAGCCGUCCUUGAAAUACCACCCUGGUAAUGUUGAGGUUCUAACUCUGUCCCGUGAUCCGGGACGAGGACCGUGUCUGGUGGGUAGUUUGACUGGGGCGGUCUCCUCCUAAAGAGUAACGGAGGAGUACGAAGGUGCGCUCAGCGUGGUCGGAAAUCACGCGUAGAGUAUAAAGGCAAAAGCGCGCUUAACUGCGAGACCCACAAGUCGAGCAGGUACGAAAGUAGGUCUUAGUGAUCCGGUGGUUCUGUAUGGAAGGGCCAUCGCUCAACGGAUAAAAGGUACUCUGGGGAUAACAGGCUGAUACCGCCCAAGAGUUCAUAUCGACGGCGGUGUUUGGCACCUCGAUGUCGGCUCAUCUCAUCCUGGGGCUGAAGCAGGUCCCAAGGGUAUGGCUGUUCGCCAUUUAAAGAGGUACGCGAGCUGGGUUUAGAACGUCGUGAGACAGUUCGGUCCCUAUCUACCGUGGGCGCUGGAAAUUUGAGAGGAUCUGCUCCUAGUACGAGAGGACCAGAGUGGACGAACCUCUGGUGUACCGGUUGUGACGCCAGUCGCAUCGCCGGGUAGCUAUGUUCGGAAGGGAUAACCGCUGAAAGCAUCUAAGCGGGAAGCCUACCUCAAGAUAAGAUUUCCCUAGGACUUUAUGUCCUCUAAAGAGCCGUUCGAGACUAGGACGUUGAUAGGUUGGAUGUGGAAGCAUAGUGAUAUGUGAAGCUGACCAAUACUAAUUGCUCGUGAGGCUUGACUA